rnacentral:siRNA from 1 species
AUCAUUGCAAUUGUUGGUC